GAUGAACGCUAGCUACAGGCUUAACACAUGCAAGUCGAGGGGCAGCAUUUCAGUUUGCUUGCAAACUGGAGAUGGCGACCGGCGCACGGGUGAGUAACACGUAUCCAACCUGCCGAUAACUCGGGGAUAGCCUUUCGAAAGAAAGAUUAAUACCCGAUGGUAUAAUCAGACCGCAUGGUCUUGUUAUUAAAGAAUUUCGGUUAUCGAUGGGGAUGCGUUCCAUUAGGCAGUUGGUGAGGUAACGGCUCACCAAACCUUCGAUGGAUAGGGGUUCUGAGAGGAAGGUCCCCCACAUUGAAACUGAGACACGGUCCAAACUCCUACGGGAGGCAGCUGUGAGGAAUAUUGGUCAAUGGGCGCAAGCCUGAACCAACCAAGUAGCGUGAAGGAUGACUGCCCUAUGGGUUGUAAACUUCUUUUAUAUGGGAAUAAAGUUUUCCACGUGUGGAAUUUUGUAUGUACCAUAUGAAUAAGGAUCGGCUAACUCCGUGCCAGCAGCCGCGGUAAUACGGAGGAUCCGAGCGUUAUCCGGAUUUAUUGGGUUUAAAGGGAGCGUAGGUGGACAGUUAAGUCAGUUGUGAAAGUUUGCGGCUCAACCGUAAAAUUGCAGUUGAUACUGGCUGUCUUGAGUACAGUAGAGGUGGGCGGAAUUCGUGGUGUAGCGGUGAAAUGCUUAGAUAUCACGAAGAACUCCGAUUGCGAAGGCAGCUCACUGGACUGCAACUGACACUGAUGCUCGAAAGUGUGGGUAUCAAACAGGAUUAGAUACCCUGGUAGUCCACACAGUAAACGAUGAAUACUCGCUGUUUGCGAUAUACAGUAAGCGGCCAAGCGAAAGCAUUAAGUAUUCCACCUGGGGAGUACGCCGGCAACGGUGAAACUCAAAGGAAUUGACGGGGGCCCGCACAAGCGGAGGAACAUGUGGUUUAAUUCGAUGAUACGCGAGGAACCUUACCCGGGCUUAAAUUGCAUUUGAAUAUAUUGGAAACAGUAUAGCCGUAAGGCAAAUGUGAAGGUGCUGCAUGGUUGUCGUCAGCUCGUGCCGUGAGGUGUCGGCUUAAGUGCCAUAACGAGCGCAACCCUUAUCUUUAGUUACUAACAGGUCAUGCUGAGGACUCUAGAGAGACUGCCGUCGUAAGAUGUGAGGAAGGUGGGGAUGACGUCAAAUCAGCACGGCCCUUACGUCCAGGGCUACACACGUGUUACAAUGGGGGGUACAGAAGGCAGCUACCUGGUGACAGGAUGCUAAUCCCAAAAGCCUCUCUCAGUUCGGAUCGAAGUCUGCAACCCGACUUCGUGAAGCUGGAUUCGCUAGUAAUCGCGCAUCAGCCAUGGCGCGGUGAAUACGUUCCCGGGCCU
rnacentral:rRNA from 1 species